rnacentral:rRNA from 1 species
AGUGAACGCUGGCGGUAGGCCUAACACAUGCAAGCCGAACGGCAGCACAGUAAGAGCUUGCUCUUACGGGUGGCGAGUGGCGGACGGGUGAGGAAUACAUCGGAAUCUACUUUUUCGUGGGGGAUAACGUAGGGAAACUUACGCUAAUACCGCAUACGACCUACGGGUGAAAGCAGGGGAUCUUCGGACCUUGCGCGAUUGAAUGAGCCGAUGUCGGAUUAGCUAGGUGGCGGGGUAAAGGCCCACCAAGGCGACGAUCCGUAGCUGGUCUGAGAGGAUGAUCAGGCACACUGGAACUGAGACACGGUCCAGACUCCUACGGGAGGCAGCAGUGGGGAAUAUUGGACAAUGGGCGAAAGCCUGAUCCAGCCAUGCCGCGUGUGUGAAGAAGGUCUUCGGAUUGUAAAGCACUUUAAGUGGGGAGGAAGGGCAGGAAGUUAAUACCUUGCUGUUUUGACGUUACCAACAGAAUAAGCACCGGCUAACUUCGUG